UAGCUCAGUUGGUUAGAGCGCUGGAUUGUGGUUCCAGAGGUCGCCGGUUCGAACCCGGUCUUCCACCC
rnacentral:tRNA from 1 species